rnacentral:rRNA from 1 species
CCUACGGAAGGCAGCAGUGGGGGAUAUUGCACAAUGGGCGAAAGCCUGAUGCAGCAACGCCGCGUGAGGGAAGACGGUUUUCGGAUUGUAAACCUCUGUCUUCGGUGAAGAAAAAAAUGACGGUCGCCGAGGAGGAAGCCACGGCUAACUACGUGCCAGCAGCCGCGGUAAUACGUAGGUGGCGAGCGUUGUCCGGAAUUACUGGGUGUAAAGGGAGCGCAGGCGGGGAAACAAGUCAGCUGUGAAAACUAUGGGCGUAACCCAUAAACUGCAGUUGAAACUGGUGUUCUUGAGUGGAGUAGAGGUAGGCGGAAUUCCUAGUGUAGCGGUGAAAUGCGUAGAUAUUCGGAGGAACACCAGUGGCGAAGGCGGCCUACUGGGCUCUAACUGACGCUGAGGCUCGAAAGUGUGGGGAGCAAACA